rnacentral:rRNA from 1 species
UACGAAGGGGACUAGCGUUGUUCGGAAUCACUGGGCGUAAAGCGCACGUAGGCGGAUUCGUAAGUCAGGGGUGAAAUCCCGGGGCUCAACCUCGGAACUGCCUUUGAUACUGCGGAUCUUGAGUCCGAUAGAGGUGGGUGGAAUUCCUAGUGUAGAGGUGAAAUUCGUAGAUAUUAGGAAGAACACCGGUGGCGAAGGCGGCCCACUGGAUCGGUACUGACGCUGAGGUGCGAAAGCGUGGGGAGCAAACAGG